UUGACCUCAAAUCAGGUAGGACUACCCGCUGAACUUAAGCAUAUCAAUAAGCGGAGGAAAAGAAACUAACAAGGAUUCCCCUAGUAACUGCGAGUGAAGUGGGAAAAGCUCAAAUUUAAAAUCUGACAGUCUUUGACUGUCUGAGUUGUAACCUAGAGAAGUGCUACCUGUGCUGGACCAUGUAUAAGUCUCCUGGAAUGGAGUGUC
rnacentral:rRNA from 1 species